GCCCGUUUGGCUUAGUGGUACAGCGUCUCACUCGUAUCUACUACGGAAUGAGAAGAUCCGCGGUUCGAUUCCGCGAAUGGGCA